rnacentral:rRNA from 1 species
AGAACGACUCUCGGCAACGGAUAUCUCGGCUCUCGCAUCGAUGAAGAACGUAGCGAAAUGCGAUACUUGGUGUGAAUUGCAGAAUCCCGUGAACCAUCGAGUCUUUGAACGCAAGUUGCGCCCGAAGCCUUCUGGCUGAGGGCACGUCUGUCUGGGCGUCACGC